GCGGAUGUAGCUCAGUGGUAAAGUACUUGCCUAAUAUGCUUGAGGCCCUGGGUUCUAACCCAGCACUGCA
rnacentral:tRNA from 1 species